rnacentral:rRNA from 1 species
GGAGUUCAGUAGGCACGCGAGUCGUUGACGUUUUUCAUUGAACAGUCGAAGGCGAAAUGAAAGUGUUCAUGAAAAUGAACAGUACUUUUCUAUGGAGUGCUGCUCGUUUUCAACAUGAUCGUCCUUUUUUGUGCUUAAUUGUGCAAAAUUGAUAGAUGGGGACGCGCAGUGUGGUGCCGUUGAAUAGUCGCACUGUUUCUCCUUCUCUUCGGGGUUGGAGGGACAAUUGUCGAUCAGUCGGUUUCGGAGCGUGCACACUGGUACCCGAAAGAUGGUGAACUAUGCUUGAGCAGAAUGAAGCCAGAGGAAACUCUGGUGGAAGUUCGUAGCGGUGUUGACGUGCAAAUCACUCGUCUGACUUGAGUGUAGGGGCGAAAGACUAAUCGAACCAUCUAGUUGCUGGUUCCUUCCGAAGUUUCCCUCAGGAUAGCUGGCAUUUGUGUGUAACAAUUUUAUCCGGUAGAGCGAAUGAUUAGAGGUGUUGGGAACGCAAUGUUCUCAGCCUAUUCUCAAACUUCGAAUGGGUAAGCAAGGCGAUUUGCUUUGAUCUUUUUAUGAAAUCGCCCCUCCAAUUUGUUGAAGAAUGUAUAAAUGCCUAGUGGGCCAAUUUUGGUAAGCAGAACUGGCGAUGUGGAAUGAACCAAAAGUCAGGUUAAGGUGCCAGACAUUGGCGCUCAUGAAAUACCAGAAAAGGUGUUGGUCGAUAUAGACAGCAGGACGGUGGCCAUGGAAGUCGGAAUCCGCCAAGGAGUGUGUAACAACUCACCUGCCGAAUCGACUAGCCCUGAAAAUGGAUAGCGUUUGAGCGCCAGGCCCAUACCUGACCGUCUCAGCUACGCACUUUUGCUGGUUUCUCCGGUGAAGGUGUAAUGAACGUUGAGACGGGUAGGAAGGUCGCGACAGUGUUGCUUUGAAGAGUUUUGAGCGUGAGCUCGCUCGGAGCCGCUGUUGGUGCAGAUCUUGGUGGUAGUAGCAAAUAUUCAAGUGAGAACCUUGAAGGCUGAAGUGGAGCAAGGUUCCAUGUGAACAGCAGUUGGACAUGGGUCAGUCGAUCCUAAGAAAACGGCGAAAGCUUGUUCGAAUUUACGACAUAAAAUUUAAAACUGUGUAUGCAAAAGAAAGUAGUGUAGUGUUGGUAGCAGCAGCAGCAGUUGUGGUAGUGGUGGUGGUGGUGGUGGUGGUGGUGUGCCGCCGCCGCCGCCGCCGAAACUACUUUUUGCUGCUGUUGCGUUGCUACAAUCUUGGUGUUUUUGUUCUGUGCAGUUGUCGUAUGUUUUCGAAAGGGAAUCCGGUUGAUAUUCCGGAACCGAGUAACGGAGACAAAGAGUAGCGCUUUAAUCUCUUUCGGGUUGGCGUUCAACUCAAUCGCGCGGUAACGCAAGCGAACUCGGAAAAUGACCGUCGUGAGUUUCGAAAAGAGUUUUCUUUUCUUUUUAAGGGACGCAUUCCCUGGAACCGGGUUGUCCGGAGAUAGGGAUUCUGGUAUCCAUAAAACGCCGACUCUUUCACGGUGUUCGGAGCGCUCUCGUCGGUACGUGAAAAUCCGAGCGACGCCUGGUAAAUCUCGUACUUGGUCGUACUGAUAUCCGCAGCAGGUCUCCAAGGUGAAUAGCCUCUGGCCGAUAGAAUAAUGUAGGUAAGGGAAGUCGGCAAAACGGAUCCGUAACUUCGGAACAAGGAUUGGCUCUAAGGGCUGGGCCGAUCGGGCUGAGGUUUCAAGCGUGCAGUGUAUGCUUGGCUGAGUUGUGUUGAGGAUUGAUUCGCUUGGUGCCGUUUGUUGAACCAAUCGGCUAUCCAGGUGGUCAUGUCUGAAGCAAAGCUGGCCGACAGACCGGCACGUGCAGAACCUGAGCUGCGCGGCUGUCAGUUCAUUUGUACAGACCGUUUCGGUCGGCAUUCAACAGCCAACUUAGAACUGGCACGGACACAAGGAAUCUGACUGUAUAAUUAAAACAAAGCAUUGCGAUGGCCGAUGAUCGGUGUUGACGCAAUGUGAUUUCUGCCCAGUGCUCUGAAUGUCAAAGUGAAGAAAUUCAAUCAAGCGCGGGUAAACGGCGGGAGUAACUAUGACUCUCUUAAGGUAGCCAAAUGCCUCGUCAUCUAAUUAGUGACGCGUAUGAAUGGAUCAACAAGAUUCCUUCUGUCCCUAUCUACUAUCUAGCGAAACCACAGCCAAGGGAACGGGCUUGGCAAAAUCAGCGGGGAAAGAAGACCCUGUUGAGCUUGACUCUAGUCUGACUCUGUGAAGAGACAUGAAAGGUGUAGCAUAGGUGGGAGGCUGCAGUAGGGCGCUGUUUGGUGUCUUUGUGGUCGCCAAUGAAAUACCACUACUUUGAUCGUUUCUUUACUUAUUCGGUAAAGCGAAAAAAUUGUGGCCAAUUUGGCGGUCUGUCCGCUGUUGGUCAUUGUUUUAAUGUUGGAUUGAAGCUUUGUUUAUAGCCGUCGCUUUGCGUCGCCGUUUGAUGCAUUGGCUGGGUGCGUUUUUGCGCGCGCGCGGUAAUGUUGUCAGCGGAUGAUCGGCGAUUGGUUUGAAGUGAUUCGCUCCGGAAACAGUGUCAGACGGGGAGUUUGACUGGGGCGGUACAUCUGUUAAACGAUAACGCAGGUGUCCUAAGGUAAGCUCAGCGAGGACAGAAACCUCGCCUAGAGUAAACGGGCACAAGCUUACUUGAUUUUGAUUUCCAGUACGAAUAAAAACCGCGAAAGCGUGGCCUAUCGAUCCUUUUGAUUGUGUAGAUUUCAUGCAAGAGGUGUCAGAAAAGUUACCACAGGGAUAACUGGCUUGUGGCAGCCAAGCGUCCAUAGCGACGUUGCUUUUUGAUCCUUCGAUGUCGGCUCUUCCUAUCAUUGCGAAGCAGAAUUCGCCAAGCGUUGGAUUGUUCACCCACCAAUAGGGAACGUGAGCUGGGUUUAGACCGUCGUGAGACAGGUUAGUUUUACCCUACUGAUGACAAGUCGUUGCGAUAGUAAUCCUGCUCAGUACGAGAGGAACCGCGGGAUCAGACAUUUGGUUCAUGCGCUCGGCUGAAAGGCCGGUGGCGCGAAGCUAGCAUCUGCAAGAUUAUGACUGAACGCCUCUAAGUCAGAAUCUUUUCUAGUCAUUGGCAACGAUAAGUUGCGUCCGGACUCGAUGCGAGGAAACGAUUAGGCUUUGCUGUGUUUUGCGCAGCGAAGCCGUCAUCAUACCACGGUAGCAGGCAGUUGGGAUGGUUACGAAAAAGCAAUUUUUUGAAGUCAGUUGAAUUCAAUCAAACUGCUAACAAUCCCACUGCGAAUGACUACACUCGAAUCU